GUGUUCCCUGCGUCAACAAUUUAUUCAUUCCACAAACAUUUCUAAGUGUCCAUGGUGACCCAGACAUCAUGGGAACUUCAGGGUUCCAGAGCUGAGUAGAACACAACUCCCAUCCUUAGGGAUUCACCAUCCAGUAGAGGAGAAAGACGUCGAGACAGAAGACAGAAGGGAAAGGAAAAGCUCAAUGCUGUGCCUUCAACUUAGCUUCUCCAUUUUUUGGAGAAGGGUUAAUAGGGGAAGCAGAGAGAGAGAGAUGAGAGACCAAAGUUUCUAGGGCCUUUAUCUCCAGAGCAGAGGGUCUGAAACCUUAGUGAGCAAAAACUGAUCCGGAAGACUUGUUGGAGGCAUACCUUCCAGUUCAGCGAGCCAUUUCAGCAGAUUGGAGAUCCCCUGCCUGCAGCACGUGCUGAUCUCCAAGGGUGAGGCUGGAUGAAGCCAGGGGCUAUGGAAAGGGAGACUGUUUCAGAGGACUUGACACCAUCUUCAGUAAUUUCUCUGGUUCUUGGCAGCUCCAUUUGGCUGCGUCCCUACCCUGCAUAACCCUCCCAGCUAGUCUACUCCAGGGCAGCAUCCAGCUGGUGACCUGAGAGGGCAGUGGCGCACCAGUCUCCAUGAAGGUUGAGCUCCGAUGGCCAACAGCCAUUUCCACCUUGUGGUCUACAACUCUUCAUCCCGACUGCAUGGAGGUUGGUCUCUCUCUUCAGCUGGAUUUAGGCCACCAUCUGAGCCCCCGGGGUACGUUUUGUCUGACCCUGGCGCCAUUCGAACGGUUCUUCUACAGCAUCAGUUCUCUUUCCUGCCACCAUGUGAAGAAGGACAUGUUUGCUUCCCCUUCUGCCAUGAAUGGACAGGGUCCUGCUGUGUUGCCCAGGCUGGCCUUGAACUCCUGGCUUCAAACAGUCUUCCCACUUGGGCUCCCAAAGUGCUGGGAUUAAAGGGGCGAGUUACAGCACCAGGACCUGAAAUGUGACACCCCUGCUCCCCAUUCACCCUCCGCUAUCAGUAAAAGCUUCCUCAGACCUCACCAGAAGCUGGACAGAUAGAUGCUGGUGCCAAGCUUGUACAGACUGCAGAACCAUGGGCCAAAUAAACCUCUUUUCUUUAUAAAUUGCUCAGCCUCAGGGGUCCCUUUAUAGCAAUGCGAGAAUAGACUAACACAGCAACCCAGAAGUUUGUGGAGUGAAAUCUAAAGCAGUGCUUUUAAAAGUGAGAUCCUAGGACCAGCACCACCUGUACCACAUGCAUCACCUGGGAACCUGUUAGAAAAGCAAAGCCUCAGGCUCCAUCCCAGACCACCUCAGGCAGAAGCUCUGGGGGUGGGGUCCAGGAAUCUGAGAUUUAACAAGCUCUCCAGGUGAUGCUGAUGCAUGUUCAGUUUGAAAACAAUGGACCCAGAGAGCCUCUAAAGUGCAACCUGCCCUGACAAUUUUAGUCCAAAAUCUUGCAUGGGUAAUUUAAUCUCUACAUCCUGUGGAUUCAGUAAAGUCCCUUUCUGGCAACCAGAAAGCUCAGUCUCUCUGGAGGCUCUGAUGUGGUCUCAUUUUGAGCCUAAGAUCAAUCGUGAGACCUUACUCUCCAUCAAGACUGAUUGGGAGACUCAUGUAUGCUGUUCUCAAGCCAAAAGUCAGGGUAGAACUGCUUUCCAUUAUUGAUUACAAAAGAAUCAGCCUUCCAGAAGAUAAAUCUACUCCCUUCAUGGAACCUCCUCAUUGCAGCAGCUGCUUGGGCACUAUUUUCUCCUGUAGGCAGGUAAAAAUAUGUGCAGGCUUUUCUGGCUUGGAUCGUACAGUCUCUUUAAAGCUUAUAGACUCUGAUUAUUA
rnacentral:lncRNA from 1 species